rnacentral:rRNA from 1 species
GAUGAACGCUGGCGGCGUGCUUAACACAUGCAAGUCGAACGAAGAUGCCGGAGUGCUUGCACUUUGGCAGACUGAGUGGCGGACGGGUGAGUAACGCGUGGGUAACCUGCCUUAUACAGGGGGAUAACAGUUGGAAACGACUGCUAAUACCGCAUAAGCGCACGGUAUCGCAUGAUACAGUGUGAAAAACUCCGGUGGUAUAAGAUGGACCCGCGUCUGAUUAGCUUGUUGGUGAGGUAACGGCCCACCAAGGCGACGAUCAGUAGCCGGCCUGAGAGGUGAACGGCCACAUUGGGACUGAGACACGGCCCAGACUCCUACGGGAGGCAGCAGUGGGGAAUAUUGCACAAUGGGGGAAACCCUGAUGCAGCAACGCCGCGUGAGUGAAGAAGUAUUUGGUAUGUAAAGCUCUAUCAGCAGGAAAGAAAAUGACGGUACCUGACUAAGAAGCCCCGGNUAACUACGUGCCAGCAGCCGCGGU